rnacentral:lncRNA from 10 species
AAGUGCGCGCGGCCCCGCCCCCGCCGGUUCGCGUCUCUCUGCUGCGGCGCGGGGACCGCUGUGCUCUCGGCUGGAGUCCAGUGGCACGAUUUCUGCUCACUGCAGCCUCCACCUCCCGGCCUCAGGUGAUCCUCCCAGCUCAGCCUCCUGAAUAACUAGGACCACAGGCGUACACCACCACACCGGGCUGUUUUAUGUAUUUUCUGUGGAGACGGGGUUUCGCCACGUUGCCCUGGCUGGUCUUGAACUCCGUGACUCAAACAAUCCGCACGCCUCGUCCUCCCAAAGUGCUGAGAUUACAGGCCUGAGCCACCGCGCCCAGCCUGAACCCCCUACUUAAUGUCAGAAAUUUGAUUUGACUUCACAGGGAAAGCCCUGAGAAACUACCAGAACGGGGUCCCUGGGGCCAGUGUUGGGAGCGUACGGUGAAGUGGCAGGGCUGCUGCGCCCGUGCGGAACUCCGCUGUGGAAGAUUAGCCCCUUUGGUGACUCGUCGGUUCUGGCCGCUUUGGGACCCUCUACUGUGCAGUCUGAACUUUCAGCAGGUGGAGGAGGGCAGAGAGAGAGCUGAGAUCGUUGGUCCAUGCCAGUGCGAGAGCCAGUACGGCC